AGUUAGCAAAAGCUUGCUGAGCGUACGCAAAAGUAAUGGCAAACGGCAUGGACGUAGCGUAAGGUUUAGUGACAUAAAGUCUACUGAAUACCUUUCAGUUUACAUUUAAUCGUGGUCGUGGCAAGAGCGAAAUUUGCGCCGUCUCCGCUUGUUUUGGUGACUUGUUGACUAGUGUCAUCAUCUGCUGACAUACUAGCGUUGCUAGUGAACUGCCGCAGACAGGCAGAUAGCAUCAGAAGGUAGUCUGUGAUAGCGGUGUGUGCCGGUGGUAGCGCAUUCGAUAGAUUCACCUUCGGAUCAUUCUGGAUCUACAAGAUCGACGCGAGACUCGUCUUGGUCGGUGUGCUUGUUUUUUUUUUGCGAGAACCGUUUGCAAUAGCGGCCUUUCUUUCAUUUGGAUCGGGAGUUGGCCGCUUUUUGCCCCACAGUGUGACAGUAUUUCAACAGUUGGCGCUUGACGGCCGGUAAAAAUAACUCGAAAUAUUGCCAGAAAGUAACAAGUAGAGCCGACUUUUCACUUGGUGCUGCAGAACGUUUUAACACGCGAACAAACGAGGAAAGUAACAAAUCAAAUUAGUUCAUCAGAUAUAGUCGUCUACGGUCGCGCUGAUCCGAAGGGCAAAAAAGACGGCAAGUGUAUUCUUUCAGUGCUCUGGUGCGAUCAUCGUACAAACGAAGCUAACUUUGUGUGAUAAAGGAAGUUUAACCUAAUUUCAAAGCGACACUAACGCAAUCAACGGUGGUGCUUGGGAGGAAAGCACUGCUGAACAGGAAGAUCUAGACGUUACAAUCAUCGUUGAGGAGCUGUCUUCAGAACAUCAGUAAACAACGACCCAUCCACCAACGUCAAUCGAAACACAUAGGGUCAAGUGACAAGCAUCGGAGUACAGUUUAGCCCUAAAAGCUCCUCGCAACGCAGACAGUAUUAUGUCCAACUCGUAUGUGACGUCCAGUUCGAAACCUACUUCACGAUGGAAGCGCUUUCUCAAAUCAAACUUACUCACCUUCCUCACGGUGAUCGGUGUGUUCGGCGGUACCGCACUGGGACUGGUGCUGAAAAAUUCCGGCGAACCUUGGACGGAGCGUGAGGUGAUGUACAUCCAGUACCCGGGUGACCUAUUUUUACGGAUGCUCAAAUGUCUGAUUGUGCCACUGUUAGUAUCGUCCAUCACCAGCGCGAUUGGAUCGCUGGAUCUCAGCAUGUCGAAAAAGAUCGCCGCCCGAGCAAUCAUUUACUACUUCACCACCACGAUAUGCGCAGUAAUAUUAGGUAUCAUACUUGUAACUGUUAUAAGGCCCGGUGCCGGGCAAACUGCGGCCAGCAUGAAGGGUAAGCCUGCCACCCGAAACGUCCUUACCGUCGAUACGCUACUAGAUUUAAUCCGAAAUCUUUUCCCACCAAACAUCAUUCAGGCGACUAUGUUCCAGUUCCGUACUCUUCUGGUAGCACCGGAAAAUGCAACUAAUGUUCCACUCACUGACUACAAAAUCAAAUCCGAAUUUACCGAGGGUACCAAUGUGCUCGGUAUGGUCAUGUUCAGUGUGGUGCUCGGUGCAUGCAUCGGGAAGAUGCGGGAGGCUGGUAAACCCCUUCAGGCAAUGUUCGAAUCGAUGAGUGAGGCUAUGAUGAUCAUCACCUCGUGGGUUAUUUGGAUAUCUCCAAUCGGUGUGUUCUUCCUAGUGGCAGCCAAGCUGCUGGAGAUGGCUUCGUUGGUGGAGGUGCUUGGCCUGCUUGGAUGGUACUUUAUUACCGUUAUGCUGGGAUUGCUACUUCAUGGAUUCGGUACAAUCGCGGUUAUCUUUUUCUUAACUACCCGAAAAUUGGCAUAUCCUUUCGUCGGUCAAAUGAGUCAGGUGCUGGCCACCGCUUUUGGUACCGGUUCUAGCUCGGCAACAAUGCCAAUCACGAUCCGGUGCUUGGAUAAUAUGGGAAUUGAUCCUCGUGUGACACGAUUUGUUAUACCGGUUGGUGCCACUAUCAACAUGGACGGAACGGCGCUCUACGAAGCUGUUGCCGCCAUAUUCAUCGCUCAGCUAAGACACAUACCGCUUUCGUUUGGUCAUAUUGUUGCUGUGAGUGUAACUGCCACUGCUGCAUCGAUCGGUGCAGCCGGUAUCCCACAAGCUGGCUUGAUUACCAUGGUAAUGGUGUUAGAUACCGUAGGACUACCAGCCGAAGAUGUAACAAUUAUCAUUGCCGUUGAUUGGCUACUUGAUCGAUUCCGUACCACCAUCAAUGUCAUGUGCGAUGCCCUGGGCACUAUUUUGGUGAACUAUCUCUCGAAGAAUGAUUUAGCUUCUUCCCCUAACAACAUUAAUACGUAUUAAAUAGAUAUUUUCGUUGCUGCAUAUUAUUUCAUUAGAUCUUAGAAACUGACGCAUGAAGCCGAACCCCACGAGCUGGUCGAGCUGCGGCAUGAUUGCAACGAGAAAGAAUAGAACACAUUCGCCGUUGAAGAGUCAAAACCCUAAUUGGUCCCUUCCCUCCUAAAUGCACCGUUUUUCGGUUUACUUUAGCAACUGCUUAAAAAGCUUGACUAAAGAUCAAGGAAGCAUUUUUUUUCUAAAUAGGGAUUGCAUCUCAUUCAAUCUAUACCUAUUUGUCAUUGGCGUUAGAUAAUCCCGCAGAUGUGAUUGGUGAGGGGCGAGAUAGAGAAAUAAUCAUCGACAUCUGUUACGAUUUUUCGUCUGUGGUGUUUCAUUCCUCCACGUAUUGUACGUACGGAAAUGUUGUUUAGCUUGCCGAAAAUGUCGUCGAUGUUAUCCUGAAGAUUUUCAACCGAAUCACAUUGACGGUAGUGUUCGUCGAGCCGUUGAAAAUCCCCGUAGUUUGUUCGAGCUUAAGUCUAACGUAGCGUCAGUGUUAAUUAACUGUAUGAUUAAAAAAUACUUACAAAUAUAUUUUAAUAGUUAACGUUUUGUACAUUAUCACGUUUUUAUUUUCGUUUCACCAUUCGCUAUUUUAGUUUGAAACGCGCGCACAUCAUCAGUUUUAAUGGUUAGUACAAGUGUAGGCCAAACAAAGUGUCACUUUGGGUUUGCAAAUCGAUUAGAGGAAUAAAAUGAAUGACGCAACCAAAAAAUUCAGGUUUCGUUUUGCGUUUUUCUAAGUGACAGUGAUCAAUAAAUAUGGACGUAUAUUAUGACAAAAAAUGUUAUCUAUAUGUGUUGUAUGAAAACCGAAUAGGAACACUGUUGGACAAAAUGAAAUAAAUAUACAAUAAAAAUAAAA